CUGAGACAGACCCACAUUCAGAUCCACAAACCACUGCUGAGGACGCGUCCACCAGCCUGGUCCUGGUCCCAUUAGAGUCCUGUUAGGGUCCUGGUGACUCCUGGUAGUCUUAGUGCAUCCUGGUAGUUCUUGGGAGUUCCUGGUCAGUCCUUGUGGUUUUUAGUAGUUCUUGGCUUUUCCUGGUGUUCCUGGUGGUUUCUGUUAGUGGGUUGCUGGCAGUUCCCUGGUGGUCCUUGGUGGAUCCUGGUUUUCCCUGGUGGUUCCUAGUGGGUCCCUGUGGUUCUUGGAGGUUCAGAGAUGCUCGGUGGAGACGUGGUGGCGGUCUGGGACGUGGAUCUGAGCGAUGGCGUCUACAGGAUCGAAUUCGCUCAUGGGACGACAACGGGAAAGCGGAUCGUUUAUGUGAAUGGAAAGGAAGUCAUCAGGAAAGACUGGAUGUUCAAACUGGUUGGGAGGGAGACGUUUAUGGUUGGACGUUGUCAAACUAAAGCGUCCAUCAACAUCGAGGCGGUCGGAGGAUUCGCCUACGAAUACUCACUAAAUGUGGACGGGAAGAGUCUGCAGAAGUUCGUCGAUGACCGAGCCAAGUCCACCAACACCUGGGUGGUCAACGUGGACGGACAGGACUUCAGGAUUGUCCUCGAAAAAGACACGAUGGACGUCUGGUGUAACGGACAGAAAAUGGACGCGACGGGGGAGUUUGUGGACGAUGGCACCGAGACGCACUUUACCAUUGGAGAACAUGACUGUUGUAUCAAGGUGGGGACCGGGACCGGGACCGGGAAGAAGAAGAAGAACGGCAUCGUCCACUGUUUACUACUGGAUGGACAGAAAAUACCAGCAUCGACACAAUAGAGCUGAGACCAGGGUCUGAGGUCUAGACCAGGAUUUAAGGACAAGACCGGGAUCUGAGGUCUAGACCAGGAUUUAAGGACAAGACCAGGAUCUGGGGUCUAGACCAGGAUUUAAGGACAAGACCAGGAUCUGAGGUCUAGACCAGGAUUUCAGGACUAGACCAGGAUCUAAGGUCUAGACCAGGAUUAAAGGACUAGACCAGGAUAUGAGGACUAGACCAGGAUAUGAGGACCAGACCAGGAUUUGAAGACUAGACAUGGAUCUGAGGACUCCAUCUCGAACUGUGGGGAAGUCUGGGUUUUGCAUUUUACCCAUCCUGCUACACAUAGUGCCUAGCAUUAGCAUUGGCAUUAGCAUUAGCAGAUUAGCCUAUGAUUUCAUACAUUCAGUUUCCAGUCAAUAUCAUAUCCACUGUCCAUCCACAUUCAGUGGGUCUCAUGCAAGAAACUAUAUAUGAACAACCUCACUUUUUUUUUUGUUUGUAUCAUACAUAUGACCUUAUUUUUUUUCUUAGUUUGCCCUAAAAGAAAACAGACAAAUGGAAUAUACAUAAAGUAAAAAAGCAGUAAAAUAAAUGAUUGAAACAAGUGAAAAAAUAAAUAAAUUGGAA